AUUGAACGCUGGCGGCAUGCUUUACACAUGCAAGUCGAACGGCAGCACGGGGGUAACCCUGGUGGCGAGUGGCGAACGGGUGAGUAAUGCAUCGGAACAUAUCUUAAAGUGGGGAAUAACGCAUCGAAAGGUGUGCUAAUACUCCAUAUACUCUAAGGAGGAAAGCGGGGGAUCGAAAGACCUCGUGCUUUAAGGGUGGCCGAUGUCUGAUUAGCUAGUUGGUGGGGUAAAGGCUUACCAAGGCGACGAUCAGUAGCUGGUCUGAGAGGACGAUCAGCCACACUGGGACUGAGACACGGCCCAGACUCCUACGGGAGGCAGCAGUGGGGAAUUUUGGACAAUGGGCGAAAGCCUGAUCCAGCCAUGCCGCGUGAGUGAAGAAGGCCUC
rnacentral:rRNA from 1 species